GGGCGCUUAGCUCAGCUGGGAGAGCAUCUGCCUUACAAGCAGAGGGUCAUAGGUUCGAGCCCUAUAGCGCCCACCA
rnacentral:tRNA from 6 species